AUACGGAGGGGGCUAGCGUUGUUCGGAAUUACUGGGCGUAAAGGGCGCGUAGGCGGACGAUCAAGUCAGAGGUGAAAGCCCUGGGCUCAACCUGGGAACUGCCUUUGAAACUGAUCGUCUAGAGUCCGGAAGAGGAUGACGGAAUUCCCAGUGUAGAGGUGAAAUUCGUAGAUAUUGGGAAGAACACCGGUGGCGAAGGCGGUCAUCUGGUCCGGUACUGACGCUGAGGCGCGAAAGCGUGGGGAGCAAACAGGAUUAGAAACCCUUGUAGUCC
rnacentral:rRNA from 1 species